AUGCCCCAACAACGCCUCCACACAGUGAACCCCUUGGAGCUGCACCCACAGGAUCAGGCAGAUCCUCCCUUGGGCCUGGACUUUCAAUGCAAUUCACACCCGCCAGAAGAUUACUGCUUCCAGGCCCAGUCUUCUUUUCCUUUACAUUUUUCCUUUAUUUAUUUGGUUUAUAUUUUGUUUCAUUUAUUGCUUUAG